rnacentral:rRNA from 1 species
UACUCCCGAGAGACCGAUAGCGAACCAGUACCGUGAGGGAAAGGUGAAAAGAACCUCGAACAGAGGAGUGAAAUAGACCCUGAACCCGUCUGCCUACAAGCGGUCGGAGCAACGUAAGUUGUGACGGCGUGCCUUUUGCAUAAUGAACCUACGAGUUACUUUCUCCGGCAAGGUUAAGUAUUUCAGAUACGGAGCCGAAGCGAAAGCGAGUCUGAACAGGGCGACAUAGUCGGAGGGAGUAGACGCGAAACCAAGUGAUCUACCCAUGGUCAGGUUGAAGGUUAGGUAACACUAACUGGAGGACCGAACCGGUAAGCGUUGAAAAGCUUUCGGAUGAACUGUGGGUAGGGGUGAAAGGCUAAUCAAACUUGGAGAUAGCUCGUACUCCCCGAAAUGCAUUUAGGUGCAGCCUUUAUUUAGUAUAGCAUGAGGUAGAGCGACUGAUUGGAUGCGAGGGCUUCACCGCCUAUCAAGUCCAGAUAAACUCCGAAUGCGUGCUAUAUAUUGAUAAGGAGUGAGGGCGCGGGUGCUAAGGUCCGCGUCCGAGAGGAGAAGAAUCCAGACCAUCAGCUAAGGUCCCCAAAUAACAGUUAAGUUGAACUAACGAAGUCAGACUGCAGAGACAGCUAGGAUGUUGGCUUGGAAGCAGCCAUUCAUUUAAAGAGUGCGUAACAGCUCACUAGUCGAGGAGUUUGGCGUGGAUAAUACUCGGGCAUAAACUGUUUACCGAAGCUAUGGAUCCAGAGUAAUGGAUGGUAGGGGAGCAUUCCAGUGGCGUUGAAGGUGAGGGAUAACCCUUGCUGGAGCAGCUGGAAAAGCAAAUGUAGGUAUAAGUAACGAUAAAGGAAGUGAGAAACUUCCUCGCCGAAAGACUAAGGUUUCCUGAUCAACGUUAAUCGGAUCAGGGUAAGUCGGGACCUAAGGAUAAGCCGAACGGCGAUUCCGAUGGAAGAAUGGUUUAAUAUUCCCAUACUACUUUAUAGAGCGAUGUGGAGACGGAGAAGUGACAGUCCUGCCAUCUGACGGAAUAGAUGGUUAAAGGGUGUAGACGUCGAUCAUGGUAGGCAAAUCCGCCGUGAGAGUCGAACCUGAUAGUAUGCCGAGUACUUGUACAAGGCAAUAUGGAUGUAAACAGGCUCCCUAGAAAAUCCGCUAAGCAUAUCUAUAGAGUACCCGUACCGUAAACGGACACACGUAGUUGGGUUGAGAAUACUGAGGCGCUCGAGUGAUUCACGGUUAAGGAACUAGGCAAAUUGACCCUGUAACUUCGGGAUAAAGGGUCCCAACGAGAGUUGGGCGCAGAGAAUAGGUCCAGGCAACUGUUUAACAAAAACACAGGGCUGUGCCAAAUUGAAAGAUUACGUAUACAGCCUGACACCUGCCCGGUGCUGGAAGGUUAAGAGGAGAUGUCAUCGCAAGAGAAGCAUUGAAUUGAAGCCCCAGUAAACGGCGGCCGUAACUAUAACGGUCCUAAGGUAGCGAAAUUCCUUGUCGGGUAAGUUCCGACCUGCACGAAUGGUGUAAUGAUCUGGACGCUGUCUCAACCGUGAGCUCAGUGAAAUUGUAGUAUCGGUGAAGAUGCCGAUUACCCGCGAUGGGACGAAAAGACCCCGUGAACCUUUACUAUAGCUUAACAUUGAAUUUGGGUAAUUGAUGUGUAGGAUAGGCCGGAGACUUUGAAGCAGGUACGCCAGUAUUUGUGGAGUCGCUGUUGAAAUACGGCCCUUUGAUUAUUUGAGUUCUAACUCGUAGAUGCGAGGACACUGUUUGGUGGGUAGUUUGACUGGGGUGGUCGCCUCCAAAAGUGUAACGGAGGCUUCUAAAGGUGCCCUCAGGACGAUUGGUAACCGUCCGUAGAGUGUAAUGGCAUAAGGGCGCUUGACUGGGAGACAGACAAGUCGAUCAGGUAGGAAACUAGAGCAUAGUGAUCCGGUGUUUCCGUAUGGA